AAUGCCAGGCGGCAAUGGGCUUUGUUCUAGGAGCCACCUUAAAACCCAGCUGUCCUAAUCUUCCCCCAGACAAUUUAAUUUUUUUUUCCAAAGAAGAUCCUCAAUGUGGGAGAAGGAGCAAAAUGCAGAGCAGAGCAAACAUCUGGCUGGCUGAGGAGUCUGCAUUAAAGGGUCAGAGAAGUUUGAUGUUCCAUUGCAGAUGUUCAGGAGAACCAGCUCUCUGCUGCAUCCUGCCCAUCAAAGGCCUAAGCCUCUCCAGGCUCCUCCGGGUAGCUCAGCUCCCUCUUCAGCUACAAGCUGCGCCAUAUGGUUUUCUCCCUGAACCUGAGUUCAUUGAUUCUGUUACACUGGCUAGCCGGCAAGCCCCAAGUAUCCUCCUGUCUCUACCUUCCCAGUACUGUGAUUACAGAAGCCUCUGAGCUGUUGUCAUCGUGACCUCCACCCCCAUCCCUGCCACUUUGCCAAACACAGGCAAACACGUUCUCUGCCACGAGAUAGAACUCUGGUUUGGCUUGGCCCUUGCCGCACCUCGUGAGGCAGAGUCAGAGGAGGGAAGAUUGCCUGGCUAGACACAGCUUACCUGGAACUCCGAGAACCUCCUGGGUGGGGCUGGGAUUUUUUUUCAUGCUCCCAAAUGACAUGUCUAGCUCUGGGGCUGGGUUGGAGCAGGUUGUUUUUCUGAUAUUCUCUCAACACCUUUGGGCAGCAUGUGGCUGGAGACACUUCGUGCUCUGCUGGUUCCCCUCCUCCUUCUACCUUCUUGAAGAUGGACUCAGGCAAACAUAGAGAUAGGAUCCAGCCAUGAAUAGAAUUCUGUCUGGGGCUUCAGACAAAGCCCACGGUCAGAAAGAAUACAGUCCAUCCAUACCAGUAGUCAUCAUCUAAUAAAAAACAAAUCAAAGUCCCUGUCAUCAAGAGCUUCCAGUCUAACAAAGGGGAUAGGAGGCCUCCAAGUGACUCUUGGAUAGUUUGUUGAGAUAAGAUCUCACUAUGUGGCCUUGGCUGGCCUGGAACUUUCUAUGUAGACCAGGCUGGCCUCGAACUCACAGAGAUCUGCCUGCCCCUCUCCAAGUGGCUCUUGAGUUCACAUGGUCAUCUUUUCGCUCAGAAAACCAGUGGACUGUGGGAGGCAACAGGCAUACACAGGAUCAUGCAGCCGCCGCCACUGCUCAGGAUGCUGUCCUCCCAUGGACCCUGCCCUGUGCUCCACCUGUCUUCCCUUAGAGACACCGCCCAGGCGAUUCAGUUAUCAAGGAUGGCAACGCCAAAGUGCUCACUCCAAAACUGUUUGCUCGAAUAUUUCCUAACCCUAACGCAAGGCACAGGGACACUUCCCAUAUCCCUUCCUCAACCCCUGUCUUCCUUCACACAUCAAGAUCGCUCUCAACAGGACGGUGGUGCAUGCCUUUAAUCCCAGCACCCCGGAAGCAAAGGCAGACUUUGUGAGUUCAGGGCCAGCCUGGUCUAUAUAGCAAAUUGCAGGUCAGCUGGGGCUACAUAGUGAGACCUAAUUUCUCUUCUCUCCAAGUCUUGGCUCGGUCCUCCACCCCCGCCACCCUUCCGUGUUUGAUGUCAGAAAAUACACAAUAAACCAGUAUCUUUCUUAGAGCACAAAGGAGAGCAGUAAAUAAAUCAGUUCUUCAGAACUGAGUAAGCUAUCCCAGAAUGUUCUCCAGUGAGCAGGGAGAGGAGAAAGAUGAUGAGGGACACAUACAGCUGACUUCUCUUCUGCUCAUGAAGUAUUGCCUUGUUCAGUCCUCACAGCCACCAUAUUAGGGUGACUCUAAUGUCCUUAUGUGAUACAUGGGAAGGCCGAGCUUAGCCAGGAGCCAUUGGCCAAAGCUUGCCGUGAGUGGAAGAAGACAAGUGUCUCCAUGUUUGCUCAGGGAUACAGAACUCAGAGGACAAAUAGCCCUGUCCCUAGUCCACAUUACCCCUGGGUGUUUGCAGAGAAGAUGGUGACUCAGGGGCUUGGAGAGAAUGCUCUGACCAAAGCAUCCUCCAGGGUGUGGUGAACACUUCUUAGUUCCGGAGGAUGUGCUUGUGUUUGUAUCUCUUUGUCUCCAGGGAGGUAAGAUGACCAAAGGGAAUUCCCUUUGGCCCCUGUUUCUGACAGCUCACUGGAGGACAUUCCACAUGGAACCACUCAUCCUGAAGAGGCUCUGGGAGGUGGUGAGGCACCUCCAACACAAAGGAAAGUGUGUGCAGACUCUGUGAGGGACAGUAGACAAUCUGAGAGUCAGUACGGUCCGUCCACCAGGAUGCUGCUACAGAAGAUGUGACUCUGCCUCCUGUAUCCCUGUGUCAGCAACGUGAGGCCCCAAGAAAUGUCCACCCUGUAAUCGAGAGAAGGUCAGCCAGACAGCCCACCCAGGAAUGAUGUCUCAAAGGCACUCUGACACCAAGACACUCAGGUUUCUGGAGUUUGGCACUCUGGAGUAGACCCAAGGGAACUUCUACCAGCUUGUGUCCUUGGGAACAGGCAGGAGAAGACUCCAGGUCUCCCCAUGGAUUAAAUCCAUGCCUCCUCUCUGAGGCCACUUCCACUGAUCACCAUUUCCUUCUCGGUUAUCGGAGCCCUGAGAUCUUUCCAUUGUAACCCAGGUGGCUUGCCCUGCUCAACUAGCUUUCCUUCGUCCUUCUAGAAGGGGGUUUGAAGCUGCCACCAGACCCUCCGAACUUCCCAUGGCCUCUUGUGCACCUCUGGGUCCCUGUUGGUCAUUUUGCUUAUCUACCUAUGGCUCCUGUUGUCCCCAGCAGUCAGGAAUUGCCUUAGAGUGGGUGCUCUCUUCUCGUGAGCACCCUUAACCAUGGUAGAGGGGGAUGGGUAGACACAAAACAGUAGUAAGAUCAGGA